GCUGGAAUGAGUGCGUUUAUGCUUGGAACAAAAGAGGAGUGCGGUGCCGAUAAAUCGAUAAUGAGACGUUUUUUAUUAGAAUAUUUGUGAAUAGCAAUACCAAUAGGGUUAGUGCACCAGGAGGAAAGCGAUGAAGAGGUGAAAGGACCGAUCAUGAAACCGUUUGUGGUUUCUGCGGAAAUGAGAGUGUCUACAGCGACUGGGUCUAAACGUG